rnacentral:rRNA from 1 species
UACGGAGGAGGCAAGCGUUAUCCGGAAUUAUUGGGCGUAAAGGGUGCGUAGGCGGGUCUUUAAGUCAGAGGUGAAAUCCUGGAGCUCAACUCCAGAACUGCCUUUGAUACUGAGGAUCUUGAGUAUGGGAGAGGUGAGUGGAACUGCGAGUGUAGAGGUGAAAUUCGUAGAUAUUCGCAAGAACACCAGUGGCGAAGGCGGCUCACUGGCCCAUUACUGACGCUGAGGCACGAAAGCGUGGGGAGCAAACAGG